CACGCAGCUGCUCGAGAGUGCGCGUCCUGGGCAGCAGCGCCGAACCGUGCGCAGCAGCUGGCAGCUGCGUCUUGAAGGAAACGCCGCACCUAACAAGUGCUCCGCCUGCCGACGCUGCUUUCCGCCGGCGGUGAACGACGACGAAUCUGCCGACGCUGCCGCGGCGCCCGCUGAAUCAAAGCCAAGAAGGAAUCGCACCGUGUCGCAUCGUUUGUGCCUUGACCUUUCAGAUCAUCAUCGAAGCGUCACCACACUGCUGCCUCUUUCCCUACGUGUUUGGACCGCGCGACAAGCUUUUCUUCUUCGCUUCAGGGUGAAGCAGAGAAGAUGACUCCCAGGACGGGCUUCUUCAAGUGCUCUCUUCAGAGAGGCACUCGCUACGCAGCUGCCAUAACACUGUUCUCGACGAGCCUGCUGUUCGUUACCUACAUGAUCUCUCUGUACCGCCAGCACGGCUUCCUCGAAUCUAUCAACAGGUCCCUGGGAUUCGACGUGACACCCGCUUCGCCAGUCGUGGAGUUCAUGGCCAUGUUGGGCUUCGGCCUGAUCCUGCUCUUCGAGAUGAUGUCCUCCUGGCUGGCCAUCAAGGCAACCACACUGGAAAGUCGCUGGCUCCUGUUACCCUUCAUAGGACUCACAACUUGCGGCAUCGUGUCGCCAGCACUCAUGUCGGCAGUUAUCGUGCUCUCCUGUCGCCGCUAUGAGACCGCGCCGUUACCCCUCAACACCCUAAUACCGGUUUUGUUCAUCGUCUUGACUAGGACAUACUUCCUGUUGGUGACCGUGUCCUACUACCGCGAGCUCCAGGAACGCGAGUCGCGCCAGGAGGAGACCCUGCCGUCAGUGGCGUCCCAGGUACCGCAGCUGCACAUCGACGACCUGCCAGCGCACAAGCGGCUGCCGCCCUUCCUGCUCGACUACCUGCAGAAGCCUCCUCCAUACGAAGGAUACGACGACGAGGCACGCGUGCAGGAAGACCCCAAGAGUGGAAUUGGCAUGCGCCUGUACAUGUGAACAUGCAUGGUCGAAGCGCUUGUAGCUGCAUCUCGUCCUUGCCAUACGGAAGAGAAGACAGACGAUGACUUUGUGUACGCGAAAUUUUGUACAUAGCUCCAAGGUACAGCGCUUGAUCUCAUCGUGUGACACGCCCAGAACUGUCUUCGAGCAAACCUGCGUCAGACCGGACUUCCCAUCCAGAUGGAGGAAAUGCCAAAAAGAAGCAAGCACCACAAUUGAGUGCGAUGUUAUCACUAUACCGUCUGUCCCAUGCAGCUAACGCUAGCCAAGCUAUUCAAAUAAGAAAAAAAAAAGAUUAAGAAAACACGGUGCAAGA
rnacentral:misc_RNA from 1 species